rnacentral:tRNA from 1 species
GCCCAGGUGAUGAAAUUGGUAGACAUGCUACCUUGAGGUGGUAGUGGGGGCAACUCCUUGUGGGUUCGAGUCCCACUCUGGGCA